GAUAAACGCUGGCGGCGUGCCUAACACAUGCAAGUCGAACGCUCUGCUGUCUUUCGGGACAGCAGAGAGUGGCGGACGGGUGAGGAACACGUGGGUGACCUACCUUUCAGUGAGGAAUACCGGCGAGAAAUCGCCGACAAGACCGCAUACGCUUCCCGCAUCAGCGCGGGAAGGAAAGCUGCUUCGCAAGAGGUGGCGCUGGAAGAUGGGCCCGCGGCCGAUUAGCUAGCUGGUGGGGUAAUGGCCUACCAGGGCGACGAUCGGUAGCUGGUCUGAG
rnacentral:rRNA from 1 species